UACGAAGGGGGCUAGCGUUGCUCGGAAUCACUGGGCGUAAAGCGCACGUAGGCGGAUCGUUAAGUCGGGGGUGAAAUCCUGGAGCUCAACUCCAGAACUGCCUCCGAUACUGGCGAUCUUGGAGUCCGGGAGAGGUGAGUGGAACUCCGAGUGUAGAGGUGAAAUUCGUAGAUAUUCGCAAGAACACCAGUGGCGAAGGCGGCUUACUGGUCCGGUUCUGACGCUGAGGCGCGAAAGCGUGGGGAGCAAACAGG
rnacentral:rRNA from 1 species